rnacentral:tmRNA from 1 species
CACGUUGCAAACCGCCCCGCGGCUCCCUAUAUCGGCAAUGCCGGUUUCGGCCGGCUAUGAGGAUAAAUGGUGUCGUGGAAUAGACACAGCGGACCCGGGGGCAGUACCCGGCGGCUCCACCACAAACCCGCGCGCUUUUGAAGGGGUGCGCGGGCUUCUGACGGGGCCGAACCAGGAUCGACGUGUGUUCAAAGACGAUGUUUUCUUCCGGGCUGAGUAACCCGUUAAAGGCUCAAAA